AGGUGGUGUAUUUGUGUGUAAGGUCCUAGUCUAUGACAGGUGUUGUAUUUGUAUGUAAGGUCCUAGUCUAUGACAGGUUUUGUAUUUAUGUGUAAGGUCCUAGUCUAUGACAGGGGGUGUAUUUAUGUGUUAGAUCCUAGUCUAUGACAGGUGGUGUAUUUAUGUGUAAGGUCCUAGUCUAUGACAGGUGGUGUAUUUAUGUGUAAGGUCCUGGUCUAUGCAAGUCGGUGUAUUUAUGUGUAAGGUCCUAGUCUAUGACAG
rnacentral:lncRNA from 1 species